GUCUUGUGAGGAAUAGUAAAGUUGAAAUUUGAUUUACAUGUUGGUCUAUGGGCCCAUAGGCCUGUUAAUAUUAUUCGAAAGCCUAUUCAGAUGUACAUAACGUAGGAGACAUUUUUGUACUACAUUGUUUUUCAGUUUCAUUUACUCUUUUUCAGAAGGUAGACUCACAGUGGAUGCUUUAACUAUGGACCAUGAUAAUAUUAACAAG